rnacentral:rRNA from 1 species
UACGAAGGGGGCUAGCGUUGCUCGGAAUGACUGGGCGUAAAGGGCGCGUAGGCGGAUGACACAGUCAGAUGUGAAAUUCCCGGGCUUAACCUGGGGGCUGCAUUUGAUACGUGUUGUCUAGAGUGAGGAAGAGGGUUGUGGAAUUCCCAGUGUAGAGGUGAAAUUCGUAGAUAUUGGGAAGAACACCGGUGGCGAAGGCGGCAACCUGGUCCUUGACUGACGCUGAGCGCGAAAGCGUGGGGAGCAAACAGG